GCGGGCGUGGUGGAACUGGUAGACACACUGGAUUUAGGUUCCAGCGGCGCAAGCCUUGGGGGUUCAAAUCCCUUCGCCCGCACCA
rnacentral:tRNA from 1 species